UUCAGCUAGAGGCUGGGGAUGGGAGAGCUGGGGAAGCUGUAGGUAGGAGCAGGCUGGGUGGCUGGCCUGCCGGGGAGAAAGGGACAGAGACAGGGAGGGCUGAGGCGGAGACGGGCAGGAUUACGAGAGGGAGGGAGGUCACCCAGGCCCUGGAACACGAACUGUUGUAGAAUCACCACACGUAAUACAGCCAGCUUCAAGUGCCCACUGUGGGCAGAGCCCUGUGCUUGUUGCUGGGGGUGGGGUGGGGUGGGGUAGGGUUACCAAAGAAACAGAAGACGCAAUCCUGACCUCAAAGCAUCUCCAGUCCAGCGAGAUAUUAGCAGGCUAUUUCAGGCAGAUCUUCUUAGCCUGGGUUUUUGGCAUAAUGGUUUUAAUAAAAACCGUUUUGUGAGCACAUAGACAUAAAAACAGCUCCAAGCCGACUUUUCUCCCCCAGGUUUUAGGCCAAGUACUUGGUUUCUAAGCCCCAGCCUUGCACCAUCUGGGCACGUGUGGUACUUCUCCUUUUCUUCCUGUGGCUUAACGAGUGUGUUUUCUUCCCUUGCAGAAGAAAGGGGAGCAGCCAACGGGCCAGCAGCGGCGGAAGCACCAGAUCACGUACCUGAUCCAUCAGGCCAAGGAGCGGGAGCUGGAGCUGAAAAACGCCUGGUCCGAGAACAAGCUGAGCCGCCGGCAGACCCAAGCCAAGUACGGGUUCUAGGGCUCCGGACCCGACUGCCCCCGGGACCUCCUGCAGCCCGGCGCCACGGCCUCACCUCCGGGACCCCCGCUGCCUUCAAGUCCAGGGCCUCCUUCCCUGGGGACCCAGCCCUCGCCUCCGCGAGGAUGAACACGUUUGAUAGAUUUUUCUUAACAGAAGUUAGAGAACUCAGCUCCUCUCUGUCUUGGAGCAAAGACUCGAGCGGUGAAGCUUCAGACGGGGCUCCGAGUCCUUGGAUGGGAGUUUUGCUCCCUCGUGGGUGUGAUGAAAUGGUGAACCCCUCCCUCCAUCUUGUUUUUUUUUUUUUUCUUUUUUUAAUUUUAAACCAGGGAUGUCUGUUGAAAUAAAACAUUCAGUCUGACGGACACUGCUCGCCCUAA